rnacentral:rRNA from 1 species
GGGUCAGGCCUGCCCGGUGGCGUUAAGCUAAACGGCUGCAACGAGAGUUGUACUAAGGUAGCGUGAUAAGUUGUCCUUUAAUUGAGGACUGGAAUGAAUGGUUUUAUGUGGAAAAUCUGUCUUCGUAAAAUUGUAUGAAUUUUCUUUUUGUGUGAAAAAGCUUAAGUGUUUGUAAUAGACGAGAAGACCCUGUCGAGUUUAAUUAGAACUAUAUAAAAAUAUGUUUGUUUGAAGUUUUGUUGGGGCAACAUAAAUUGAUGUAACGAUUUUUAUAAUAAUGUAGAUCCUUUUUGAAAGAAAAAAGCAAAAAUUACCGCAGGGAUAACAGCGUGAUUUCUCCUAAGAGAGCUUAUUGAGGGAGGGGUGUGCGACCUCGAUGUUGAAUUAAGAAAACUUUACGGUGCAGCAGCUGUAAAAGUAAGACUGUUCGUCUUUUAAAUUCUUACAUGAUCUGAGUUUCCAGAACCGGAA